GGGCCCCAGUGUCUUCCUCUCUUUUCCCUCCUUUGACCACAAAUACACUUACUCUUUUCUGAAUUACUAACCCCCAACCCAGGGCCUUUGCACUUGCCACCUCUUCUGCCAGGAACAUUUCCCCUUCAGUUUGCCUCAUGGCCCAAAUAUCCUUCAGGUCUUUCCUGCUCCCUUCCCUACUGACAUUCUUUAUGGUGUUCCUGGAGACCUACUCCCAUCCUAUCCUAUGAGUCUCCCAUCUUCCUUACUGCUGCACAGACACAAGGCUCUCUCCAUUACCACUGUCUGACCCGCUCCCAUGCAGAACCUGUUACAGUGGUUGAAUAAAAAGAUCCCAUGCCCUUCCCUCCUACCAAAGAUGCCACCCUCACAAGUGGCUGACCCAUCUCCCCCCACCGUCUUUCUUGCUUCUUAACAUUAUUUUUGUUUGUUUGUUUUGGGUAUUUUUGUUGUUGUUUUGUUUUUCUUGACUAUAACCUUGAACAACAGGGAUAGUUAUAAAUGUUGUGGACCAAAUGCCAGUCACUAGCCCUGGACAUGGUGUUGGUUGUACUGUAAGACCUGUGAGUCCUCAUUCACUCAUAAGCAACUGUCCUCUUCCCCAGUGUUCCUCUUCUGCUGAGCUCCCUCCUGACCCACAAGCCCUGAUGUGACUUCUACAUUCAGUGGAGUCAGCAACCUCCUCCUCCUCCUCCGAGCUCUCCCAGAGUGCCCCUGGAAGGGUAGUGUUCCCAUCAGUGCAGCAGACCAGGUAGGUGUGCUCUCUGAUCCAUGAUAUGGAGCCCCUUGAAGGGUGCAGUCUUCUCCCCUGGUGCAGCAUCUGGCAGACUGGGCACCUGCCCACCUUCUCCCACCCUCUUGACAGUGGAGAACCCUUGUCCACCCUCUGCAGGCUGAGUGCACAGGGACAGGGCCACUAGGUAGCAUAGUGUAGAUCUGGAUUUGGCCACAGUGUGAGAGUUCCACUCCGGCCGUGGACUGGAUGGCGACACACAAGCCCCAUUCCACCUCCAGGAGCCUCGGCUGUUUGCUUUACUGUCUCCUUUUAGUGGUUGGUGAAUCAAAAGAACUGGGAGAUGAACUCCCUAAGACUGAGCAGUCGGGACUCUGACCCAGGGACAUAGGAGGUACAUGUUGGCACUUAGCGGAAGCCCUGCUGUGAACCCCUGAAGCUAGGGACCUGAAUGUGAGCCAUGGAAAAGGGACUGUUGGGAACUCCUGCCACACACAUAAACCCAUGUACACCCAUCCCCAGAUUGUGGAGACGGACAGACACACACACACACACACACACACACACACACACACACACACAAGCACUCACGCAUGCACGCACGAAUGCACACACACAAACAUACACACCAGCUCCAGCCUACAAGCCAAGAGUCCUGGUGUAGAUCACACAUAGUUGCAGAUUAGGGCUUUGGCUCUGUCUUGCUCUCCAGAAAGCCCAGGAUGUGAAGCUAUAUGCCGAAUGAAAAAUUAGGCAACCAGGCCCAUAAACUGGGCCUCUCCUGUCCCUGUGCGCCUGAAUCAUGGACCACUUGGUCCCUGGAAGCCCUCCGGCACCCUGUACCCUAGGCCAAGUUAGGUUCGCUCCACCCACCCUUCCCCAAUGGCAGCUCCGUGCACCCUGUGGCCUCUGUGCCUGGUCACUCUGGCCGAGGAGGCCCUGCAAGCCACCUCUAAGCUCCAGUAAGCCAGGUCUGACUCUUGGAGGAGAUGCUGUCACCAGGCCAUCCAUGGAGCCUGGUCCCCUGUCCCAGAGGCCCCUGCUUACCUUCAAGAGUGGAAGGUAGGUGCUGGGCCUGAACACAGGCCUGGAGGCCUCUGUUUAUCCAGGCCAAGGUCUCUCCACCCACAACUGGCCAGCUUAGGUUGGAUCAAUAGCCUGGAACCAUGACUGGGGUGUCUGGCCCUUGUCCCUCGUGGCCUGUGGCCCCAAGUUCCAUGGGCCUCCUGUCAGGUCCAGGACGGACAAUGUAACUGAACACAGGUAAACAGGCAGGAGGCAGGAGGCAAGUAAUGCCCGCCUCUCUAACCCCGCCCUACCCCAUGGGUGCCCAGGGGGCUGGACUUGCAGGAGCGAGAGACCUGAGCUCUCCCCUGGGGCCUGUUGCUUGGUGAUAUUCCUGCCUGGUUACAGACCCUGGUCCCCUAAGAACGUGAGCGGGAAACUGCAGAGCGGAUUCAGGCUCACUCCGCCCCAUGCUGGAGGAAGUGUCAGGAUCCAUCGAGCAGGGACACCUACCCAAUGGCCAGAGUUGACCGACACCAGGAGCAUCUCAAGGCAUCCCCGCUCCUCCGAAUCUCAGCAUCCAGGAUGAAGGUCAAGUGCUUACAGCAGGAGUUCACUGAUAAAUAAUUGCAAGACAGGCUGACUGCAGGUGGGCUCCCAAACACAGCAUCGUCUCUAGGCCCCCUGGACAUUGGAUGUUAGAACGGAGGAGGUACGGGGGUAGAAAAGGGAAGAAUGUUCUGAUGAUGGGGGACCUCCACCUCUUACUGAGGCUGUAGACCAGGCUUCUGGUCCACCGGAAAAAUAGAAGUCAGAAUUUUUCUUUUGCUUCCCUCAUUCUUCCACAUCAUAGACGAGAAAGGUUCCAAGGGGCUCAAUGGGAGAGACCUGGCAGGGACACAAUGACCCCAAGAUGCUUGGGGCAGAUGUACAAGGAAGGAGAGCCUAGGAAGGGUGACGAGGGGCAACAGAGGCUGUGUGCCCGCCCCCAAGGGCUGCAAGGCAGACAAGAGCACCAACAGCAAACAGCAAGCUUGGGGUACCCGCCACCAUCCCUGGGCCACCUGGUCCCAGUUCUGUCCCCACCUGCCGCAGCUCCAACCACCAGCACGUCUUCAUCACAUGCCCUUAAUUAUUCUAUCCUCAUGACAGCCCUGGUGUCGUCAGAAUAAGGAAACUGAGGCACAGAGACGCUUCGGCAUCCAGUAAGGUCACAGCACACAAGCUGCCCGGCUCCCCAGGCUGGGGCCGCUGUCCCGCUCUGUCCCGGCCAUCGAGGGCUGCAAGGGUAGAUGACAUCUGCUUCCCUUCCCUUGCUCACCCUCCGUCUGCCUGCACAUCACCCUCCUCCUUCACAAACGAGCGUCGAAUGAACAAAUGGAUGGAUUUGUUAUCGCUCUCUGUCAAGUACUUCCGUGCCUCAUUGAAUCUGAGCCGAGCACCCUUGAAGGCCCUUCCAGCAUCUUCUCUCCCAGCAGAGCAGUCUGCUUGUGCCUUCUAAGGAGGUCUCGUGCCAGGUAUGGACAGGCUGGUGAAUGAUGGAGGUCUACUUGUCUGUAUACUCCACAAAGACUUUUUUUUUUUACAAUGAGGCUGAGGUCUCUGUGGAUAAUUCCAGCCCCAGGGCCAGCACCUAUGGCGUACCUACAGCUGUGUGCCUGUCUACCUGCCCACUCGAGGCCAGGUGCACGGAGGGGCGGAGAAGCUGGCCUCUCCACCAGCUGCUCCCGCCCCUCAGUGCUCUGGUUUCCUGGAAUCGAGGGUACCUCCUGGCAUCCUGCACCUCAGGUCUCAAGCGGCUUCCUGCUUUGUUUCUAAAGGUCCCCAGUGGGUGUGUCACAUCCCUGGUAUCACAAAAUGUCAGCAGAGGGGCUGUCCCAGGGCUGACACAGGGGUCAGGGUCAGAGCUUCUAGUGAGCUUGGGUUUCAACACUACUCCAUCUCUCUACAAUAAACUCCCCGUGGCAGGGGAUGUGGCAGCAAUCGUCUCAGAAGCUGCCACUCUUGUCUCAGUAGGUUCUUGGCACAUGGUCUGAGAUACUUGUCAGCACAGGCUUUAAAGAGCUGUUUUAAGUAAAACCAUGUUAUGAAAGCGCUCUCUCUCUCUCUCUCUCUCUCUCUCUCUCUCUCUCUCUCACACACACACACACACACACACACACACACACACACACACACACCUCAAUUAUGUGGCUCUUAAGUGUGGAUUUUGUAGAUGGUAUCAUGAGAAGACGAAGCCCCUGCUGCUGCCACUGCUGGUGCCUGACCUGUGGGAUGCUGGGUGUAGGAGGCUGUGGACAGAGGGAAGCUCCAGUCAUGGAGUCCAAGGCUGCCUCACCUUAUGACAGCCGUGCCCUGGCCAGUGGAGAACUGAGAAGGGGUUCUCUUCUUCCUGCAGUGCUGUGAGCAUUCCACCUUUUUCUUUCUUCGAGGCUGGCUACCCGGAGGCUGAGACAGAACUUUCUGGUUUUUGCCUUUGGUAGAAGUGUCUCCAAGGGGCAGCCCCGUGCAGCCCAGAUAGAAAGUGAAUGAAUAAAUUGAUGGAAGAAAAGGAGGAGGAGGAGAAGUAGUAGAGGAAGAGAGGGAAGGGGUGGGGGAAGAAGAAGAGGGGGAGGAGGAGGAAGAAGAAGGAGAGGAAGAAAAAAAGAGGAGGAACAGGAAGAGCUUUCUCUAGACAAGUUUGCUCUCAGAAAGGUCCAGGGACUGAGGAGCUUGGAGCAUACAGUCUAUCCACUAGCAGCUACACUUCUCAACUGCCCUCAGCCUCAGUUUCCUCAUCUGAAAAGUGGGGCGAAAGCUCCUGCCUCUCACGGACAUGGCAGCUUUCUUGGUGGAGGCAGAGAGAGGUGGCUUUCUUUGCAGGUUUUUUUUUUUUUUGGCAGGGUGGGGUAGGAUGAGCUUUUUGUUUGUUUGUUUUUGGGACAUGAGCUUGUCAAGUAGUCUAGACUGGCCUGGAGCUCACUAUGUGGACCAGGUCACCUUCAAACCUGAGACACCCCCCACCCCAGCCCACUCCCCCAUCUUAGCUCUCUGCUGUGGGGAGGGGGGUUAGGAAUGAGCCACCAUCUCUGCCUCCAAUGUGCUUUGUUGUUUGGUUUACUUCUGCUUCCCUGGGGUUUCCUCCGUUGGCCGUGGCAUCACAAUGAAUAAGGCCUGGCUGGACUUUUGUCUCAGACAAAAUUCAGAACAAACCAAAUUUGCCUGAAAACUCUAGCAGUUGCUGGGAGUGAGGAGAGCAGACCUGGGGAAGUGGGGCACAGGUCAGCCUUAGCAGAAAGGACAUGAGAGGCCUGAAACCUUCUUCCCUGCUCCCCCAUCCAUUUCUUGCACCCCUAGAUGUCCCUGACUUGCUUCCUGCUCCCUAUUUGCUACCUGAGAAUCUCCAGAGCCCAGGCUGUACCUGCUCUCCAGCUGCUGCCUUUUCUCUGAAAUCUGAUCCUGAGGGUUCUGGCACCCCUUUCCUACACUACCCUGCAAGCUGCUCUCUCCUGGCUCUGCUCCCACAAUCUCUGUUGGACAUGCUGUGUCUCUGGCAUAUGGUGGCCCCUUUCCCCAGGCAUCGCCAGCUCAGGUCUCUCAGCAGACACAGGGAACAGCUGGGUCCCUGGGUUUGGGGGAACCUUGCUCAUCGCUCUCUCAGCUCUCAGGUGGCUCCCUCUCAGCCUCUGGCCUCGCUGUCUAGAGAAGAGUGAGGAGCUCCUUUUGUAGAAGGAAACUGAGAGGCGGCGUGACUCAGACAUGUCGAUAGGUACCCGUUCCCAUCAGUUGGGGCUUCCCUAGACACAGUAUCACAGAAUCUAAUGCUGCAUCCAGCCUCUGGUGGAAGGAAGGCUGUGAUUAAGUAUCGAUGUCUGCCAGGCAUGGGUGCAACUGAUUAGCAGUGUCUACCAUGCAUAGGUGCAAUUGAUUAGCAGAGUCUACCAUGCAUAGGUGCAAUUGAUUAGCAGAGUCUACCAUGCAUAGGUGCAAUUGAUUAGCAGAGUCUACCAUGCAUAGGUGCAAUUGAUUAGCAGUGUCUACCAUGCAUAGGUGCAAUUGAUUAGCAGAGUCUACCAUGCAUAGGUGCAAUUGAUUAGCAGAGUCUACCAUGCAUAGGUGCAAUUGAUUAGUAGUGUCUACCAUGCAUAAUAUAAUCAAUUAGCAAUGUCUGCCAAAUGUGCAACUUCAUGAAUGCCAGAGAUUGUUGACUACUGUUUCUCAAUACUCUGCAAAUAUUCUGCUAAUUGUUAAGUGACCGUUAGAUGACGAGAGAGAGACAGACGGACAGACAGACAGACAGACAGACAGACAGACAGAGACAGAGAGAGAAACAGAGAGGCAGAUAGAUGAGUGCUAGAUCGACCUGUGAUCGGCUGGAAUGCUUGCCCAAGCUUGGAUGUGGAUCUGAGAGAGGUUAGAGCAUACCUGUGUGCAGAAACCUGAUUGCUGUACAUGACCAAGAUGUUCUCAACAGCCUGGCUUUCCUCACAGAGGAAGCUUCCCUCAGUUUCUAGCAGCACUGUCCUUCUAGCCUGAGAUGACAGAGCUCCAACAGCAAUGACAUAGACACAAUACUGCUGAAUUCUCUUUCUCGUAGAGCCGAGUUGGAAUGAGCUAGGCAGCUACUAGGCUCCACCCCCAGAUGAGAGUCUCACGUUACAUAGUGUUAUUGUACCCACUGCUUACAAUCACCUUCUAUUUAUAGGAAGAUUGGGUUUUCAAGCCACAGAAGUGAUGUGAAGAAGAAUCCUUAAAUAAGUGUAUUUAAACAAACAAACAAAAAAAGGUGAAUGUAUUUUAAAACUUUCCUGGAAAUAAUUGCAAAACUACCAUGCAUAGAUCAUUAAAAGAGAGAGCACCAAAUCCUUCCCAGACCUUGUCAGCAGUGGAAAUAAGUUGUAUUUCUGUAUGGGAGCUGAAGCAAGAGAAUCCCACAGGUUUGCCCAUUUGCCCAGGAUACACAGUCAAGAACGUGGAUGCAGGGCUCAGGUCUGACCCAUUUCUAAGAUAGAGGAGGCUGGUGACAGACAAGAUCCUGUGGCAGGAAGGGACAGGCAGGAAAACUCUUACAUAGGUUCUGAAUCCUCUCUGCACUGGCUCAUUUCUUCUUGCAAACAGGGGCCUUGCCCAAGCACCUGUUCCCAGGACAUCUGGUUGAGAGAGAUACCCACUUGGCUAGAUCUGGCCUAGCCUCUGGGACAGACCUUCUGCACCAAGGCACCUCAUAAGCUACUAGUCAGCUUGUGGUCCUGUGGUCUGAUCAGCCAGCCAGUGAGCUGUGAGCAGGAACCACGAAGGCAGGCACUGUGGGUAGGGCAUCCAUUAGUUAGGUCUGGGUCUCUGCUUCCCUGAGGAGAUAGGAUCUGAUCACCCUGGAACAGUGACAACACUGAGGCUCUGCUAGAGGAGCAGUCUAUAGAGAGCAGUUCUCUUCUCUGAGGGUGAGGUGGUACACUUAACAUGUCAUGGCUGCCAGGGCUGCUGGGCCUCGGGUCUCACAUUCCAGUGGGCUCCUUCAUGAGUUGGUGAGGUAGGCAUGAAAAGAUCCAACAGCCACUGCCAGGGGUCAUAGGUGAAGUACACCUGGCAGGACUCGAUCUCCAAGGCAUUGGACAAAUGGAAGAAGAAGUAACCUUGGUUGGUGAAGCAGCUGGCCUGUGAGUGGCCACUGGGCGAGGGUGAAGAGGCCUUCUCCUUCUGAAACAGGAGCAUCUGCAUGGUCUUGGAAUCUCUGUCAAGCACUUCCAGUGGGGAGAUCUCAGGUGCAGAGCCAGUGGGGCUGAAGAAGGAUUGGGGGACAGGCGAGGAGAGCCAUUUCUGCCAGAGAAAGCGGAGAAGAUAGCCUCUGAGGAGGUCAGAAAACACUCAGCAACUCAACCAGAGCUGCCUGCCUGUUCAGAACUGGAGUGGAGCGCUUUUGAGAGGAGCGGCAGAACCAGCAGAAACCUCAGGGAGCGCCCAGCCCAGCAGGGAGACCAGCAGGGAGACAGACCCACAAUUAGCACACCACACUUAGGCUGAGGAGGUCUACGGAGGUCAGUGACUGGGACUACAAGGGAAGAGACGCAGAGGUUUAGCUGCCAGAAGCCACUGAGAAAGAGGGACCAUUAAAAUGUCAAGGAUCUGGGAAGUUGAACUCAGGUUGUCAAGCAUGUAGGGCAAACACUUUGCCCAGUGAGCCACCUUGCCAGCCCAUUCCUGACUUGUUUUUAUGUGAGUGUUGGGACUCUGGACUCCAGUUCUCAUGCCUGCAUGACAAGUACUCUGCCCACUGAGCCACCUGUCACAACCCCAAUUCAGACCCAUCUCAAAGGGAAGAAACAGCUCCUGUGCGUGGCCAGGCAGACCCCAUCAACAGCGUCUGCAUGUGUCUGGGAGAAGCCUGUGCAGGUUCUGGAAGAUGGAUACCUGCCCUUGGGUCCCAUCUCCUUGUCCCUCUUCCCCUGCCUUCUGAGGUAGAUGGACCUCGUCUCUGAAGCAGGAAUCUGGGAUGUGACCUCCCACCAGGGAGAGUAUGGACAUCACAAUGCUGGGUCCUCACCGUUCAC